CCAGUUUAUGUGACUGCACUCGCUGCUGCGGGGUGACGAUAAUCAUGUAGCAGCGGCUGCUUCAGUGAAUAAAGUGAGACGGUGUGUGCUUCGUGUAGUUUUCAUUUCUGAAAUCUAAAAUUUACACUGAACUCCAGUGUUAGCGUGGAGCUAUUCUGGCAUCAAAUCCCUGAACCUUACAAACUGUGAGCGGCGGCAUGCUCAGCUGUGUUAUGGCAAAGGAGGACCAGCUGACACCCAGCAUGGUCCGACCAACCUGAGAACCAAAGUGUGUUAUUGGACUAUGUAAAGCCUAAGUAUACAAAUACAGGCUAUUUACCAUUUAUUUAUCACUGAAUUAAACUAAACUAACAGCAGUCUUUCUUCUGCUUCUCCUGAACAUUAAGUACCUGUCUCAGCUGAUAUUGAUCUUCUGUGAUUCAAAUUCAGAUCUGUGGUUAAUCAAAUUAUCUACAACCAAUUGACACGCCGCAAACUCAGAGCUUUGGAGGCCAGACGCAGCUGACCGCUCUGCACGGCCGUUAAUCCAACCUUGGCUCAUAGAUUUGUUCUGUACCCAGAGUUGGACCGACGGUUGGGUUCUGGUGCACCAAAUCAGUACUGAAUCUGACUGACCAACUCUGUUACUCUUUUCUGCUUAUAAUUGAUUAAUUGUGUUACUUUGUUUACUUUAAGAAAACAUUUCGGGCUUCUUUCAGUUUCCAAUGUGUCGAACACACCGGAAACACAGAUGUUUAGAAGAAAUCAUCAGUCUUGUCUGCAGUUGGUGAGCCUGAUGCAGGCAGUAAUGCACAUCUACGAGCCACGUGCAUGUUUGAUUUGUCAACUCUACAUUUACAAAGUUUCUUCUUUUCUGGAAACCGAGCCUGGUUUUAUGAUUUUAAUAGUCAAUGUUUUAUUGGGGUGUAGUUCAUGUUUUAAGAAAAAGAGGACAUCUUUAAAAGAAGUUCAAACCUGAUGGAAAUACGUCAUCUCUGCUAGUUUCUGUGCAAACACAGCUGAUGGUUUUGACUCUACAGUAGGAUGCUGAAGUCACAUGAUGAAUAAAUGAUGGACGUAGCCAUCGUGAUGUCACCUGUUAGUUUGUAAAGACUGAAGCUGAGCCCACUGACCAUCAUCAUCUUAUCUUAAGAAGAUGUCACAUUAGAGGGAUACUGGAUGCUUAUACGCUAGCGACUUGUCGAUCACACCCAGCUUUACUGUCCUUCUGGGAACUAAUGGACUUUGAUUAGAGUUGAAACACACGAGUGAGACCACAAGCUGUUGAUGAUAGCGUUUACUGAGGUCACACGGCGCUCUCGAUUCGACACAUAGGAUGAUUUUUUUCACUUGUUUUAAACUAUAAUAGUUCCUGCGAAUGAUCUGUGUCUUCAGAAUCAUCAGGAACUUUUCUUGGGAACUUUUUUACUUUGCUGUUGUGUUUUACAUCUGGUGUUACCAUGGAAACCAGAUUUAAUGCAGCCUAAGCCCGAAAAUACAGACAUUUACCUGCAAGGUUAAAAUUCGGACAUAGCUUCGGGUUCUGAAAAGUACUUUUUUCUUAUAUAAUGGCCAACAGGGGGCGACUCCUCUGGAUGGUUUAGUUGUCUUUGACACAUUGACCUUUGGCUCUCCCAAUCUAUAACCUCAUUAAAGACUUUCCUGGUGGCUCUAUGGUCGCAAUCAAUACCUUAUAGUGUUCCUUUUUAAAUAACGAUCUCUGUUAGAGUCAAAAAUGACAAUGACUCGGGGUACGAGCAUGUGACUUAAAACUCCUGGCAGUAUCAAGUUUCUCGUCUGGUUUCAACACCAAGACGCUUCUGGACGAUUCAGUAAGGGAUGGCUCAUCACAUUAGCUACAUCCAUCAUCUUUACUCAGUAUAUGAAUGUAAUGCACAGUAUAAAAGUUGGGCUUUAAUGCACAAGUUCAAAAUCAACACAUAAACAGGUCGACGCGCUGCAGGUGCAUGUCAGCAAAUUCAUAUUUUCCACACACUCAAAACGUGGUUAGAUGGAUGCAGCAGGGAGACAGAGUUUGGUUCUGUUGAAGGAUCACCGCCUCCAUCUGCUCUCUCUGAUACCUGUUUAAAUAUUUUAUAAUACAGCCUAAUGAAACAUGAAGAGCCCGGCUUUUCCAAACAAUUAAGCAUAAUGAGUGUCUCUCAGAGAUCGUGGCGCUAAAACUAAAAGGCAACAACUGGGAAAUCAAACAUGUCAAAGACAGAACUGAAACUCUACACUGAUGGAAGCACAGUCCGGAUCCAGCAUCCGGGCCCGCUCUUUACCGCCAGCCGACUGAGCCUAGUUUCGAAUUGACGGACGUCGGCGGUAACCAAUCAGCGCCUGCCGUGCGCCAAAGCCGUGUUUAUUCCACUUAGCCGACCAAUCCGAGCCGUCCUCUGCGGCCAAGUGCGUCAUCAGAGUAGAAUGUGAAUGUGGGCUGCCUGUUACCGGAGCACACUUUGCUCCCAUCCCCCAUCAACACUGAGCAAUGGCGGCUACCCUUUUUUGCGUGCCGCUUUGUCCUUCUCAGUUCAGCUUGUAAAAGCCAUGUGUACAAAAGUCGGUAAGGAAAAUACGUGUUUGCCCUUGUGUUUCAUAAGAAUGCGCGUCAGUUCAUGAGCACAUUAUAAUUAUUUUCCGCACUUCUCUCAUCGCAUGUCUUUUAUGUCGCACUGCUUUUUUUCCCUCCUCCACGGCGGGGCAUUUCUCUGUGGGUCCUAACAAUGGAGGCGGAGGAAAUGAGCCACCAGCACUGUUCACUGCACCCGCUCACUGAGCCCGAACAGCCCGAAUCACGGCGUCAGAGCCGGCUGUGUGUGUGUUGUUCGACGGGCACUGUGUUUAUUUGUGUCUCGACCUUGGCGCACGAAUUUAUGGGCUGUUAUGUAAAAAAAAAAAAAAAGCCCUCAAGAGUGUCAAGUGCGCACAUACAGGGAUGAGUUUCAAACAUGGACGUCGGGAAGGGGCGGGGCGACGAAGAGCUGCGAUGUGACAUGGCGGCGCCGCUCCACAUUUACACUCUGAGCGCCUUGUAUCUGACUGAUGUUGUUCACAUGGAGCUUGAGAUGUGACACUAACUUUUGGGGAGAAAAGCCCGAUUUAAUCCGUAAUAACAUCCGUGUCGUCCACGUUUCCCUCCCAAACACUUCGCCUCUAUUCCCCCGUCGCGGCGGUGGGCGGGAGAAACCGUCUGAAGUCGCCGCUUGACUCGUCCAGACGCACAUCAAUCAAUCAAAGUGACACUACGUCAACCGAAGCGCUCUCGAUUCGACAUAUUUACUGCGUAACUCGACGGAAACUCGAUUUUCUUGCGCUCACGGUGCUGUGGAGCUGCCACGGUUCCGGCUCCGGUCCGUUUUGUGGGCUUUUAUCGACUCUGAUUAUUGUUUUAGGGGAGAAAGGGACGGUUGCAGCGAUAGAAUAGGAGGGGGCGUGGCCUUUGGGUUAAGAAAUCCUAUCCAUUGUUACUCUACGCGCUAGGAGAACACCUCUGCCGAGCCUCUGGCCAAUCAGAGACCACCGACCUCAUGAAGACCCCGCCCACAAGCCUAUAUUAAAGGCUCGGCCGUCAGAAGCAUUGGCCACUGGCACAAUAUAAUACUGAUUGAUCCGCUAACCGAGACGAGGGGAUUUACUUUAUUCAACCUUUCAUUUCAGCCGUCCUUUAUUUUAUUCUACUAAACAAUGGCAGACACACAGGUCGACUCCGGCUCGGAUAUCUCUGCCAAGGACCUGAAAGAGAAGAAGCUGGUGGAGGAGAAGGAGAACGGCAAAGACGCCGCCACCAAUGGGAAGGUGAGCGCCAUCGCCGCCGCCGCAGCAGCUCUCUGCACAGAGUCGGACAUUUUUAACCAUUUUUGUAUUUUCCAGGAGAAUGAAGAGAACGGUGAGCCCGAGGUAGAUGACGAGGAGGACGAGGAGGUGGACGAGGAAGAAGAGGAAGAUGAUGGAGAAGGUGAUGAGGAAGAUGAGGAGGAGGACGACGACGAGAUUGAGGGUGGCACAAAACGGGCAGCUGAGGAUGACGAGGACGACGACGAGGACGACGUCGAAACCAAGAAGCAGAAAACCGACGAUGACGAUUGAUGCGUUUCCCCCGCGCCAUCCUGCUGAACCACUUCCUGAUUCUUCACCUCUGACCAUUUUUCUAUGUCGCAGGUGGAGGGGCUGGAGGACUGAUUUAAAGGAAAAAAUAAUAAUAAUAAAAAAAAUCCAACAUGGUCAUUAGCAAGUAGAGUUCAACAAACACCCGCCACGCCCACACCCACCCGAGCUCCCCUCGACGCUGCGAGACAAAUUUUCUAGAGGAACCCGCCACCGCAUCGACGACGCAGAAAUCCGGCUUCUCUUCAGCAACAACACAAAAGGAGAAUUUGUUUGUAUUUUUAUUUACAUUUUAUAUUUUUGUACAUAUUGUUAGGAGAGGGGAGGGGGGCAGUUUCUCUCUCGGCAGCGAUCCCGUCAGACCAAAUCGGUGCUUCUCUAACGAAAGAUUUUACUUGGUUGACCAUGUUACGAUAUCUCAACAGAUCUUAGAAAAACGUGUAAAAAAAUAAAAUGAAUAAAAACAUGAAAGACAACCUCUUAAGCCGUUGAACUCAGAGCAUUCCAGUAAAUUUAAUGUAUGUACUUUAGCUGUACCAUAACUAGUUUGUUUGUAUGGGAGGGUAAGGCCAAAGAAAAGAGCCUCUUUUCUUUUUCCUUUCUUUUGGUUUUUUUUCUUUUGGUUUUGUUUUUGUCAGCGACUUUUUGUUUUAUGACGGCCUGUUUUGAUGUAUGUGCAAAGUUUGUUGUUUGACAAUAAACCGGACUUUUAUUUUGUGAGUUGUACUUUGUAUCUCUGCCCCUUUUUAUUUGUGCUUUGCUCUCCUGUGAGGAAGAGGAAGCAGUGCAGGUAAACCUGAGGUCUGCUUUUACUUUAGGGUCACAACAGCGAGGAGGUGGGUCCAGCACAUCUUAUUGGACAUUUUACACUCAUUACAUCCAUAUAAUUCAUAUUACAUAAAAGUUAAGGUUUGGUACUAAAAUAAACUGGCGGUUCCAAAAGACUAAAUGUGGUUUAUUUCUUUUGGAUUUUUCUCUUCUUUUUGUCUAUAUUGCAAACAUGCAAACAGAAGCAGUUCUGAUAGUUGAAAGUUGUAAGAAUAACAUAAUGUGUCACAUAAAUAAGGGUUUCUGCAUGAAUUUAAAGUCUUAACAUUAAAAUAAAGCAUAUUAAGGUCUGAGAAGCUGAUCUGUA
ensembl:lncRNA